rnacentral:rRNA from 1 species
GACGAACGCUGGCGGCGUGCUUAACACAUGCAAGUGGAGCGACGAACCAGGCUUCGGCCUGGGGCAGAGCCGCGAACGGGUGGGUAACACGUGGGUAACCUGCCUCGAUGACCGGGACAACCCGGGGAAACCCGGGCUAAUACCGGAUGUGCUGCCUUCACAUCAGUGGAGACAGGAAAGGAAGCUUCGGCCUCCGCAUCGAGAUGGGCCCGCGGCCCAUUAGCUUGUUGGUGGGGUAAUGGCUCACCAAGGCCGCGAUGGGUAGCUGGUCUCGAGAGGACGAUCAGCCACACUGGGACUGAGACACGGCCCAGACUCCUACGGGAGCCAGCAGUGGGAAUCUUGCGCAAUGCGCGGAAGCGUGACGCAGCAACGCCGCGUGGGGGAA